GUAUCUAUCGAUGGAGCACUGUUACGUUUUCUAUGUCUGCUUUUCGCAAUAUUAUUUGAUACAUAGGAAUCGACUGGGAAAUGCAGUGUUACCUGGUCCAGUCCAGCCAUAAAUCCCGAGGACAUCAAACUUCUAAGCAUUUUUUCGCAUACCCAGACGGUGACAGUGUGGAUUUGAUUUCGGUAGAGCUAUUGUUUCAUCAGGUGGUUGGAUUCAUUAUUAGCAGGUUCAAAAUGAACAAAGGCUAUCGAUGGCUGAUGGCGAUGAGCUAUCUAAUUUGACCAACAUCAAUUUCUUGGUACCAAAUCAAUCAAGGAAGAGACGUUUUCUGAUGACGAUGAUCAUUCCAUCAUGAUAUAAAAGUCGGCGAAUUGAUGUCAACAUAUUUGGCGAUCGCCUAAACACCACGUCCAUAUUUCAAGAAGCAAAUGUAGUUUAAUUUAGUAAUACUGUCGUUAAGAAUUGGAAAAGAAAAUCGUAUUGGAAUGUUUUGUAUCACACAUACACUUAGCAAAUAGCAACAAGUAUAAUGCGGAACGAUUAACUGCAGGUUUAAGAAAGUGCACCAUAACUAAUACCAAAUAUAGAGAGGAGGCGCAAAAUGUAGGACAAAUGUGUGGUUCUAUGAAUAGUUCUCAUCAAUAUUGUGGUUUACGAAUCACAGAUAAUGCCUCAACGUGCCAGUUUUGCGUAUUUUAGGAAAUCAUAGUUAGGAUGCAAGAUGAAAUUGAUUGGGAUUCAUGUUUUAGUCAGAGGUAGAACAAGAUUUGAUUUACCUUCAUGCUCUUGACAACUCACUAUGUCUUCUCGAUCGACUGCUGCAAAGGAAUAUUAUAUUGACGGUUUUUCGUUAGAAUGAGGUGUGACUAUGUAUUCAAUACCUGAUUUCGUUGUAUUUGAUGGAACGAAGAAAUUGACUGAUGCCUCCAUCGUGUCUCCAACUCAACACGACUGUACGACAACUAAUAUUGGAACUGAAUAGUUGUUGGACUUUUGAAACGAUCUCAAACACCACCUCACUGUUGGCGUAUACCACAAAAGCCAUAAGUACACGCGAUCAUUCACAAUCAUCUUCUGCUUGGCACUGUGACUCACGAUCUUUCUGGACCAUGAAAAAUUUGCAAAGCAUAUAAACGUUAAAGGAUGAAUUGAGCAAGUUAGACGUCGUCGAAUGUUGCCAGAUUGAAUGAAAAUCCACGAGAGACCACGUUAAAAUUGAUAUUACCAUGAAGUACGUCACAUAAGCAAAUGUGACAGACAAGAAUGAUGAGUACACUCUUAAUUUGCAGUUAUAUACGUAAAAUAGGACACCUUGUGAGGAGUUAAGAGCAUCAGGGCAAUGAAAAUUGUGUAUCUGCUUCUGCCUAACAGAAUCUGCACAACAUUUCAGUUGAACAGGCUACUAUAAAACUUUUUUUUAUUGAUCUCUAUGACAAAUAUUGGCAUUUGGUCAAGGAAGAAUGUUCGUAAAUAAUCAGUCGCUUCAUACAUCUUUGUUUAUUAAACAUUUAUACUAGUUCGAAUGAAAACAAUUUACAUUUUGCGUACUGAAGCAUUUAACAAGAUGUAAAAAAAUAUCAACACAAUUGCACUGAACAUGACGAAUAUUAUUAUGUUAAACGUUAUAUAGAUGAGAGCAACAAAAUACAUGUCCAAAUAAUAUUGAAGUACUAGUUAAGUGAGGAAGAAUCAUUGUUAAAAGUCAAACAUAAAAUGUCAAGAGUCUCGCUGAACAAUUAGGAUGUAACUAUUCUGUAACAAACAUAUAAAAUAAGCUGGCGUCGUCGGAAACGCUUACAUCAACGUAUGUAGAUACAACUCUAACCAAAACAAAGGGACGGUAGAAAAGAUGCAAUUACAUUUUACGAACCGAAUCUAUAUACGAACUACAGUAAAUGUACUUGGAUUGAAAACGAUAAACUUCAGCUGCUUAUAAGUACGGCUCAUAAGAUUCUCGCGGUGAUUACAGAACAUUCCUUU